rnacentral:rRNA from 1 species
GAUUCCCCUAGUAACUGCGAGUGAAGCGGGAAAAGCUCAAAUUUAAAAUCUGGCGGUCUUUGGCCGUCCGAGUUGUAGUCUGGAGAAGCGUCUUCCGCGCUGGACCGUGUAUAAGUCUCUUGGAACAGAGCGUCAUAGAGGGUGAGAAUCCCGUCUUUGACACGGACUACCAGUGCUUUGUGAUGCGCUCUCAAAGAGUCGAGUUGUUUGGGAAUGCAGCUCAAAAUGGGUGGUGAAUUCCAUCUAAAGCUAAAUAUUGGCGAGAGACCGAUAGCGAACAAGUACCGUGAGGGAAAGAUGAAAAGCACUUUGGAAAGAGAGUUAAACAGUACGUGAAAUUGCUGAAAGGGAAACGCUUGAAGUCAGUCGCGUUGUCCGGGACUCAGCCUUGCUUCGGCUUGGUGCACUUUCCGGAUGACGGGCCAGCAUCGAUUUUGACCGCCGGAAAAGGGCUGGAGGAAUGUGGCACCUUCGGGUGUGUUAUAGCCUCCAGUCGCAUACGGCGGUUGGGAUCGAGGAACGCAGCACGCCUUAUGGCGGGGGGUUUACCCUACCUUCGUGCUUAGGAUGCUGGCAUAAUGGCUUUAAACGACCCGUCUGGAAACACGGACCAA